UACGGAGGGGGCUAGCGUUGUUCGGAAUUACUGGGCGUAAAGCGCGCGUAGGCGGACCUGCAAGUCGGGGGGUGAAAGCCCGAGGCUCAACCUCGGAACUGCCUUCGAUACUGCGGGUCUCGAGUCCGGGAGAGGUGAGUGGGAUUCCUAGUGUAGAGGUGAAAUUCGUAGAUAUUCGCAAGAACACCAGUGGCGAAGGCGGCUCACUGGCCCGGUACUGACGCUGAGGUGCGAAAGCGUGGGGAGCAAACAGG
rnacentral:rRNA from 1 species